CCAAGGCAUCCUUCCUUGAUCUACGCUGUCUGGGCAGAAUGACUCAGGGAAAUUCCAGUUACAUAUCCUGAUUCUAGUACUCUAGUACUAGACUCUAGUAGCUACCCUGACUCUAGUACUCAAUCUUUUACAUGCAAACAGAACUUUACCCUUGGUAUUACUAUUCCUUUUCAAGUUCAAAGGAGAGGAGGUAGUAUUUGGGUGUUGGCUUUAGCAGCAAAAUACAACUACUAUACUGACUAGUCCAUUGAAGUGCUGUAUGCUGCAUCUGAAGAAAAUAUUCCUUUAGCAUCACGAUCCUGGGUAGGGAAGAAGAAAAGAAAUUCUGUCUUUCCUGCCAAUGAAAACCAAAGUAAAACAGAGGCAUGGGUGAAAAGAGGUAACCCUUCAAACUCUCAUGUGACUGAAGAUUCAUUAAAGAAUGAAGCUGAACCUAAAUCACAGGAAACCAUUACCUCCUCAGUUUCUCUACCAGGAAGUGUUACUAACUACUUGGAUGAAAUAC
rnacentral:lncRNA from 1 species